rnacentral:rRNA from 1 species
GGAAUCUUCCACAAUGGGCGCAAGCCUGAUGGAGCAACACCGCGUGAGUGAAGAAGGGUUUCGGCUCGUAACGCUCUGUUGUUAGAGAAGAACGUGCGUGAGAGCAACUGUUCACGCAUCGACGGUAUCUAACCAGAAAGUCCCGGCUACCUACGUGCCAGCAGCCGCGGUAAUACGUAGGUGGCAAGCGUUAUCCGGAGUUAUUGGGCGUAAAGCGAGCGCAGGCGGUUUCUUAAGUCCGAUGUGAAAGCCUUCGGCUUAACCGAAGAAGUGCAUCGGAAACUGGGAAACUUGAGUGCAGAAGAGGACAGUGGAACUCCAUGUGUAGCGGUGAAAUGCGUAGAUAUAUGGAAGAACACCAGUGGCGAAGGCGGCUGUCUGGUCUGUAACUGACGCUGAGGCUCGAAAGCAUGGGUAGCGAACA